UACGUAGGGGGCAAGCGUUAUUCGGAAUUAUUGGGCGUAAAGGGCGCGUAGGCGGCUUCGUAAGUCCGUUGUGAAAGUCAAAGGCUCAACCUUUGAAUGCCGAUGGAUACUGCGGAGCUAGAGUACGGAAGAGGCGAGUGGAAUUCCUGGUGUAGCGGUGGAAUGCGCAGAUAUCAGGAGGAACACCAAUAGCGAAGGCAGCUCGCUGGGACGUUACUGACACUAAGGCGCGAAAGCGUGGGGAGCAAACA
rnacentral:rRNA from 1 species